AGCAGCCGCGGUAAUUCCAGCUCCAAUAGCGUAUAUUAAAGUUGUUGCAGUUAAAAAGCUCGUAGUUGAACUUCGGGGUUUACCCAUUGGUCAGGCUUAAUUGUCUGUACUGGUGAGAUAAAUCUCUACCUUCUGAGGAACUUUCAUGUCAUUAAUUUGGUGUGAUUGGAAAUCAGGACUGUUACUUUGAAAAAAUUAGAGUGUUUAAAGCAGGCUAACGUCUGAAUACAUUAGCAUGGAAUAAUGAAAUAGGACGGACUGAUUCUAUUUCGUUGGUUUCUAGGAUCACCGUAAUGAUUAAUAGGGAUAGUUGGGGGCAUUAGUAUUCAAUUGUCAGAGGUGAAAUUCUUGGAUUUAUUGAAGACUAACUACUGCGAAAGCAUUUGCCAAGGAUGUUUUCAUUAAUCAAGAACGAAAGUUAGGGGAUCGAAGACGAUCAGAUACCGUCGUAGUCUUAACCAUAAACUAUGCCGACUAGGGAUCGGACGAAGUUAAUUUUAUAAUGACGCGUUCGGCACCU
rnacentral:rRNA from 1 species